AGAUGAUACCACGUGUUCACCGAAAUGGGCAACAAUGAGAACUCUCAUAAGCUGCUGGUGAGUGUGUAAAUUCAUACAACCACUCUGGGACACUCUGUGGCAUUACUACUAAAGCAACUAACCCUCUCCACACUGCAGGACACAAAUAUUCUACUUCUAGGUUCAACCCCAGCAGAAAUGUGCACUCGUGAAUGAAAAGACAUGGAAAAAGAAUGUUCAUAGCAGCAUUAUUCACCACAGCAGCACUGUCCAGCAACAGUAAAGCAGGCAGGAAGGAGCUGACUUGACGUUCCCUCUUGGCUGGAGCCCUUCUUCCUUAAGCCAGUAAAACCACAUGGUCUAAGACGAAUGGGAAUCUCUUCUAUGCCAUGGAAGGAACGCUAUGGUCUGAGUCCUCCAGACUUAGCCCUUGAUAUGGGACCAGAAGACAAUAUCAGCAAUUGGCCCUUACCCUCCAGUUCCUGACGGUGCCUGGAUAAGAACCACAAAGGAUCCCCAAGCAGAGGUCCCCUUAGAUACGUGUAUGGAUGAAAGGCGUCUGUCUUGUGCCUUCUCCAGAGCAGGGGAGAACCAGCCCGGCGCCCUCUCCCCACGCUGUCUGGAGCCCUCGGGGGGAAAGGUGCCAGGAGCAGCGCCGCAGCCUGCCCGGCAUCCACUCAACCUCCACUACCGACCUGGGCGCCCCGGCUCUGCGCCCGGGCUCCACACGGUCUCCUGGCGGCAAGCUGGAGACCCAGCACUCGGCUGGCCGUGAGGCCCCGGCCCCCCUUCCCAUUCCGCUUACUUUGUCGGCAGCGGUGAGGCGGGUCCAGGGCUUGUCGGCCCUGCGGUCAUAGUCCUGAGCAUCGGCCACCUCCACAUAAUCGCUGAAGCGGAUGAGGAUCUUCCGUUCCCUCAGCUCUUCCACUGUGGGCCUCUGGCUGAGCUGUGGGAGGGAGAGAUGGAUGCAGUCAGCCUGUGACGUUUAGAUCACUUGGUCCAUCGUGAACUUAUAGGUGGGAAGACGAGGUCCAGAGAGGUAGCUGAUGCAUCACACACAUGUGAGGGGCAAGGGACACAGGGCUCCUGAUUCCUGGACUUCUCCAGGGCUCUGUGAAGGAGUUUACUAACUCAUGAGCUGCCUCCAGGCCUAUUCAGACAGCCAGCCAGGCUGUCUCUUAAUAACACUGCAGUGUCUCGGUCUGUACACACGGUGUGUCUGCAUGGGUGUGGAUCUUCCCACGUCUGUCCUACCUUUCCCAGCAGGUGACAGAAACCUUACACAACAGUUUUAUAUUAUUCUCAAUUUGUGAAUCCACAUCUGUGUGUCAAAUUUAGUGCUCUCUGCAAGAUGGGUUUGUAAUACUUUCUGUGUGUGUGUCUUAGACACAAAGAAAGUGUAUGUGCAAACAGUAUGCAAACUACGGGGUGUGCAGGAAUGAGAAUAUGUUGAUUUAUGAGGUCAUGGAGACCCUACCCCUCAAUAGCUCAAAUGAAAGGUGAGUCCACAAAGGCAGAGCUAGCCCGUGUUGAUGCCAAGGAAGACCCAGACGGGCCCUUUGGAUAGGUCUGUGGUGAAGGAAUGAAACAAGUGAAUUAUUCAACCAUCUCCCAGUGUUACCCGCUAGCAUCCUUCCUUUGUACUUUAACAACAUAAGGCUGACAUUUCUAUUAUCUCUUCCUGUCACCAGAUUUAUUUCUUCUGGAGCAACACAGUUGCUCUCUCUUUAGGAUGCUGUCAAUUCAUGUUCAACCGAUGUUAGUUAAAAGCAAUUUUUCUCUAAGCCCUAGACUGUAUUUAAUUCUAUUAAUAGAAGAUGCAGUCAAAUAGAAUCUUACCACAAAGGCCUAUAAAACAAACACAUGCAAGUGAAUCCGAACCACUCCAGCUGUUUUGACUGUAUAUCAUACACCUUUGGCUGCUGCCAGAAUG